rnacentral:rRNA from 1 species
UACGAAGGGGGGCUAGCGUUGCUCGGAAUCACUGGGCGUAAAGCGCACGUAGGCGGCUUCUUAAGUCAGGGGGUGAAAUCCUGGAGCUCAACUCCAGAACUGCCUUUGAUACUGAGAGCUUGAGUCCGGGAGAGGUGAGUGGAACUGCGAGUGUAGAGGUGAAAUUCGUAGAUAUUCGCAAGAACACCAGUGGCGAAGGCGGCUCACUGGCCCGGAUACUGACGCUGAGGUGCGAA